GUAGAGAAAGUGGAAGAGGAAAGAGUUACCCCAGCGAGAACCGGGAACCGGGCUGCAGACUCUCCGGCCCGGGGGAGGGAUGAGUUUCACUCUGGUUGCCCAGGCUGGAGUGCAAUGGCGCGAUCUCGGCUCACCGCAACCUCUGCCUCCCGGAUUCAAGCGAUUCUCCUGCUUCAGCCUCCCGAGUAGCUGGGAUUACAGUUAAUACAUUUCUAAACAGAUAUGCAGGGGAUAAAAAUGGCAGUCACUUCAUGAGUUGUGAAGAUUAAAUGAGAAAAUGUGUGCACAGUGCAACGUCCAGGCAUUUAGCCAAUGAUGGCCUAUAUGUUGAUGCUGCUAAAGAAGGGAAAACCUGCCAUCCCUUUGGUGAGUCGCCAGAUGAAGCACAGAGGGUGGGAGGCUGGGUGGGACGGAUCCUACCUCGAUCACUGAAGUCGUCGACCAGUACAAUCUCGGCGACCAGCUCUGGAGGCGAGCGAUUGAGCACACUGUGGACGGUGCGGAGGAGGGAGGACCAGCCCUCGUUGUGGAAGGGGAUGAUGAUGCUUGUGUUGGGAAGUGUCUCCAGGUAGCGCUUGCUGUUGCAGCUAGAGGGAAACAUAAGGGGAGGCAGAGGACAGGGUCAGCUCUCCUCCUGCCAAGAGAACUCAGGCACAGGGUUUGGCUAACUGCAAACCCCACUUCCUCUCCAGUCUUUAGGGAAUGAGCAAAAUCCAGGGAUACCUUGGUCACACAGGAACUUCUACAUGACAUCCCAAAGUCCUACCUCCAAUCUCUGCAUAUACAGCACACGCGGAUAUGUAUAAAAGACCUCCCUGAGUUUGAAUAGUUGUGAUUUCAUGUGGAGGACUGCCCUACAGUAACACUCUGGCCUCUCUGUCCAGCUGUGAUAUUGUGAUUUAUAAUAAGAACUAUAGACUUUGGUCUUUGUCCCUGGUUCCUGGCACAGAGCUUCUAAAACUUGUCAUUUCCUAAGCAAAAGGAGUGCUAGGAAAAUCUUAUGUUCUAAUAUUUCGUCUUUGACCCCAGUUCUUGAUGCAGAGCUCCUAAAUCUCUUGGUGUUUUCUGGGUGACAGAGGCAUCUUUUGUUCUAAUGAGGUGACUCUUGGUGGGCUCCAGGAGGCGGGGUGGUCACCAGAAAGAACAUGCCAUAAUUAGAAGCUUGGAACUUUCAGCCCCAACCCACCAUCCUCCAGGAAGGGGACAGGAGCUGGAGAUCAUGAUGAUAAUUGAUCAUGCCAUGUGAUGAGGCCUCCACAAGAAUGUAGGAGGUCCUUCCCACAGACCCUGCCCUAUGCAGCUCUUCAUCUGGCUGUUCAUUUGUAUCCUUUCUAAUAUCCUUCAUAAUAAACUGGUAAACGUGUUCCCCUGAGUUCUGUGAGACACUCUGGCAGAUAAUCAAAUCUAAGGAGGGGAACCACCAAUUUACAGCCGGCUGGUCAGAAUUACCCAAGGUCUGGAUUUGCAAAUGGCAUCUGAAGAUUGGGGGUGAGGGAUAAUCUUGUGGGACCAAUCCCUUUACCUGUGGGAUCUGACUCUAACUCCAGGUAGGUAGUGUCAGAAUUGAAUUGAAUCACAGGACACCAGGCUGGUGCUGGAGAAUUGCUUGUCGGGGAGCCCCCCUCCCUGCCCCACACAUUUGGUCACAGAAGUAUUCUGUGUUGCAUGUGUGAACAGAGAGGAAAAAACAGUGAGUUUGUUUUUUCAUAUUACACAUUCCUCUCCAAUGGAGGAGAAAUGAUUUAUCCAUGAGUUUGGAAGAAUAAACUGGGCUUCAAUGGCUCAGCCCCUCCUCUCUCUCCCUGGGCUCUAGUCUCCACCAGCCCCACGGUAAGCUUAGGGGUGGAAGGCCCUGCCCCUUGUGCGUCUUUCAUACCAUUAUAACACCCAGAAGAAUUAACAUUGUUCCUUAAUAUCAUCAAACAUCUAGUUGGUUUGCAAAUUUCCCUGAUGUUACGUCUUUCUAUAGUUGGUUUGUUUAAUACAGGAUCAAAACAAGGUCCACGUACUGCAUACAGCUCAUGCGUCUCCUAAGUCUCUUUUAUACAUAAGCUUCUGCCCUCCUUUUUUUUUUUCCCCUUCGAUUUGUUUGUUGAAGAAACUGGGCUAUUUAUCUUAUAGGAGUCCCUGCAGUCUGCAUUUUGCUGCUUGCAUCUCUGUGGUAUCCUUUAAACUGUUCCUCUGUCUGUCCCCCUUUAGUUCUUGUAAACUGGUAGUUAGAUCUAUAAGCUUGACCUAAUUCAAUAAGCUAUUCUGACAGCCUCUUCAAAGGUGGUGGUACAGGGAUCCCUUAGGAGACACAUUGUGUCCAGUUGUCUUUCCUUUUGUGAUAAUCGAUGCCUAAAUAUUUUAUUUCAUCAGGAGUUUGAAAAACGAUUACAUUCUAAUUCUAUUACUCCAUCUUCAUUUACCAGCUGAAAUUCUUCUAUAGAGAAAACUUUACCACAUCAACUAUUCGUUCACCCCAAAGUAUAGGAAAGGCAGGGUAAGUUCUUGAUUCUUUACAAGUCUUUAGAAUGAGCUGGUUCCCCAGCAUCCUCCAACGAUGGUCAAUUAUGUUAACUCACAAAUGGAAACAUAAUUAAUGUGUUUCAAUCAAAUGCAGUUAUUAUUCUUACUGGUUCCCAAAUAAACCCAUCUUUAGCCAAAAGGAGUCUUCUCAGGUUGGUUCCUGAGUCCUUUGGACAUGAUCAGAGUACUGAUAGCUUCUUUGUUUUACGAUAAAAGAUACGAAAAUAUUCCCCAGGCUUAACUCACACAUUUCCUGCCCUAACCUGGAAUCAGCCAUUCUGCCAAAGAACUUUUAAUCCUUCAUAUCAUCAAUAUCACCAUUCGGAUGCUGCAACAUGAGCACUAAGGGUGUUCCUUACUACUAGGUUGGUUAUAGUUUCUAUGCCUUUCCAGUGGUCAGAACUACAAAUAUAUUUUAUUUUUUAUUUUUUUGAGACAGGGUCUCAAUCUGUCACCCAGGCUGGAGUGCAGUGACACAAUCUCGGCUCAAUGCAACCUCCAUCUCCCAGGUUCAUGCCAUCCCACCUCAGCCUCCCAAGUAGCUGGGACUACAGGUGCACGCCACCCUCUGCCUGGCUAAUUUUUGAAUUUUUUUGUAGAGACAAGGUUUCACCAAGUUGCCCAGGCUGGUAUGAAUAUAUUUUAAACAAUACAUUAUGAGUUUAAGCAGAAAUUUUAUAUUUAACAUAUAGAAUUACUGAGUUUUACUGAACUCUAAUUUUAUAUUGUAUCUCCUUUGUAUUGAGAUAUAAUUCACAUACCAUAAAAGUUACUCUUUUAUAAUUUAGUAGUUCUUAAUAUAUUCACAGAGUUGUGCAAAUAUAACCACUGUCUAAUUCCACAACAUUUUCAUCACUCCUAAAGAAACCCUGUGUGUACUAGCGGUCAUUCCCCAUCUUCCCCUCCUGCCAGCUAGCUGCUAGCAAUCCCUAAUCUGCUUUCUGUGUUCAUGGAUUUUCCUAACCUGGACAUUUUAUAUAAAUGGAUUCAUAUUUGAGGCUUUUUGUGUCUGGCCACACUUGGUGUAAUGUUUUCAAAGUUCAUCUAUGUUGUAGCAUGCAUCAAUGCUUCAUUUCUUUUUCAUAGCUGAAUAAUAGCCCAUUGUAUGAAUUCACCACAUUUUAUUUAUCUAUUCAUCAAUUAAUGGAUAUUUGGGCUGUUUCCCCCUUUUGGCUAUUAUGAAUAACAUGAAUAUGAACAUUCAUGUGCAAGUUUUUAUGUAGACAUGUUUUCAAUUCUGUGGGUACAUAGCAAACAGCUGGAUUGCUGGGUCAAAGGUAACUCCAUUUUUAACUUUGUAAAGACCUGUCAAAUGAUUUUCCAAAGUGAUAACACCAUUUCACAUUCCCACCAGCAAUGUGAAAUGAGAUUUCCAGUUUCUCCACAUCCUCACCAAUUCUUGCUAUUGUCCAUCUUUUUGAUUAUAGCUAUCCUAGUGAGUGUGAAGUGGUAUCUCCUUAUGGUUUAAUGACUAAUGAUGUUGAGUAUCUUUCCAUAUGCCUAUUGGCCAUUUGUACAUCUUCUCUGGAAAAAUGGCUAGUAAAUGUAUAUUUUACUUUCAGGUUUUUUUUUUUGCUAGUGUGUAGAAAUACAAUUGAUUUUUGUAUAUUAAUUUUGUAUCCUGCAAUCUUGCUGAGCACAUUUAUUAGUUCUAAUAAUUUUGUAUAAACUCCUUAGAAUUUCUUAGGUACAAGAUAAUGUCAUCUACAAAUAGAGGUAAUUUUACUUAUUCCUUUCCAAUAUAGAUGACUUUUUAUGUCUUUUUCUUGUCUAAUUGUCUUGGCUGGCAACUCCAGUACAAUGCUAAACAUAAGGCAAGAGCACACAUCCUUAUCUUGUUCCUGAUCUUAGGAGGAAAAGCUUUCAGUCUCUCACCAGUAAGUAAGAUGUUAGUGUGGGUUUUUCACAGAUGCACUUUAUCAGCUUGGAGCAGUUCCUUUCUAUUCCUAGUUUGCUGAGUGUUUUAAUCCUCGAAAAAGAAGUGUUGGAUUUUGUCAAAUGGCUUUUUUUUUUUUUGCAUCUACUGAGAUGAUUAUGUAAGUUUUGUCCUUUAUUUUAUUAAUAUGAUGUAUUUACACUG
rnacentral:lncRNA from 1 species